UGCCCAAUGAUGUUUUAAAUGGCUGCAGUAUUAUGACUGUACAAAGGUAGCAUAAUCAAUAGUUUCUUAAUUAGAAGCUGGAAUGAAAGGAUUAACAAAAAAUUAACUGUCUCUAUUUGAUUAAUAGAAUUUUAUUUUUAAGUAAAAAAGCUUAAAUUUAGUUAAAAGACGAGAAGACCCUAUAGAGUUUUAUAUUUUUUUAUAGUAAAUUUAUUAUAAUAAAUAUUUUAUUGGGGUGAUAGAAAAAUUUAAUUAACUUUUUUAAUAUAUUAACAAUAAUUUUUGAUUUAUUGAUCCAUUAUUAUGAUUAAAAGAAAAAAUUACCUUAGGGAUAACAGCGUUAUAUUUUUUUAGAGUUCAAAUUAAAAAAAAUGAUUGCGACCU
rnacentral:rRNA from 1 species